CAGUAGCCACGGUAAUACGUAGGGUGCGAGCGUUAAUCGGAAUUACUGGGCGUAAAGCGUGCGCAGGCGGUUCGUUAAGACAGAUGUGAAAUCCCCGGGCUUAACCUGGGAACUGCAUUUGUGACUGGCGAGCUAGAGUAUGGCAGAGGGGGGUAGAAUUCCACGUGUAGCAGUGAAAUGCGUAGAGAUGUGAGGAAUACCGAUGGCGAAAGCACUCUGCUGGGCCGACACUGACACUGAGAGACGAAAGCUAGGGGAGCAAAUGGGAUUAGAUACCCCCGUAGUCCCUGUCUCUUAUACA
rnacentral:rRNA from 1 species